rnacentral:rRNA from 1 species
UGAACGCUAGCGGCAGGCUUAACACAUGCAAGUCGAGGGGUAACAGAAUAGCUUGCUAUUGCUGACGACCGGCGCACGGGUGCGUAACGCGUAUACAAUCUACCUUACACAGGAGAAUAGCCCUAAGAAAUUGGGAUUAAUGCUCCAUAGCAAUAUUAAAUCGCAUGAUUUAAUAUUUAAAGCUUCGGUGGUGUAAGAUGAGUAUGCGUCCUAUUAGUUAGUUGGUAAGGUAACGGCUUACCAAGACAGCGAUAGGUAGGGGGCCUGAGAGGGUUAUCCCCCACACUGGUACUGAGACACGGACCAGACUCCUACGGGAGGCAGCAGUGAGGAAUAUUGGUCAAUGGAGGCAACUCUGAACCAGCCAUGCCGCGUGAAGGAAGAAUGUCCUACGGAUUGUAAACUUCUUUUAUUGGGAAGAAACCUCUGGUCGAGAACCAGGGCUGACGGUACCAAAAGAAUAAGGACCGGC